GACGAACCGAGCGAACGUUGUUCGGAAUUACUGGGCGUAAAGGGCUCGUAGGUGGCCAACUAAGUCAGACGUGAAAUCCCUCGGCUUAACCGGGGAACUGCGUCUGAUACUGGAUGGCUUGAGGUUGGGAGAGGGAUGCGGAAUUCCAGGUGUAGCGGUGAAAUGCGUAGAUAUCUGGAGGAACACCGGUGGCGAAGGCGGCAUCCUGGACCAAUUCUGACGCUGAGGAGCGAAAGCCAGGGGAGCAAACGGG
rnacentral:rRNA from 1 species